GAAGCUGCUGCUGCCUCAGCUGCAAUGUUGCAUCAGUGCCUCUGGACAAGUGUUUGGGCAGCAAAACCCGUCCCUCACGCUUGGUUCAGAGGGACGGAGUUGUGGCUCCUCUCACUGUUUAAGGAGUGAGGUUGAAGCCAGUGAUGGAAGUGCAGACACAGACACGCGGCUCUGAGUUAGUGUGGGCUUGAUGCUGCACAGAAUGCAGCCGCUCUCAAACUGUCCCUGCAGCAGCAACGUGAGGCCGAUGGGCUUUGGACAAAUGGCAGUGGCCACAUCCCAGGAGUUUAAAAUCUUUCAUCAUUUUACCCCAAUCUUCACACGUGACCACUGCUUUGUUUUACAAGUGGCCACAACCUAUACGUGUUGGCUUCAAUGAGCUGACAGGAACUUCAACUUGGGGAAGAGAGAAAGCGGGAGAGAGCGAGAGAGACUUCACUGAGGACCGUGAUGUGCGCGGUGCCGGGACCCUCGAGUUGUCCACACCAGCCGUCGCCGACAGCACACAAUGAUGUACACAAGCGUGAGGAAAAAGAGGAGGAUGCUGCUCGCAUUUCAACCCAAAUGCAACUGAAACUUCCAGGAAGGAGAAAAAAAUGUUCAAAGUCACAAUUGCCGGCUCUGCCAAUCAAGUCGUCAUAGCGAGCACCGCUAAGACAGGUUCCUGAAGAAAACUACCUGUGACCACAAGUGAUCAACGUAGAACGAGCUACAGACACUGUGGGAGAAGAACUCGAUGGAUCCCAUCAGAUGGUUCCCCAAGCAGACAGAGGAACUCGCCAACAGUAGUGUGAGGAGCCCUCCCAGUCAGACCCUGCCUGCUCGGUCAGUAAAGCACCCCACUGCACGCUGCCAUUGAGGUGGUUGUGGUGUGGACAACAUUCA